rnacentral:other from 1 species
AAGUUCCUGAAAUGUUCGGAUAAACCUAUAAUUUUGAACCUACAUCUGACAUAAGGGAGUCCGGAGUUUGAGACUGGAUGUCAGGCCUCAGUUUAAUUCCGACAUUCGGCAAUAACCGAGUGCAACGGCAGAGGAAGGCUGAAGGUUUCAGCAGGACACCCACCUAGCGAAGGGCUAGGUGUCAAAAUAUAGGGGAACGGCAUUUUGGGGCUUAA